rnacentral:rRNA from 1 species
GAUGAACGCUGGCGGCGUGCCUAAUACAUGCAAGUCGAGCGAACGGACGAGAAGCUUGCUUCUCUGAUGUUAGCGGCGGACGGGUGAGUAACACGUGGAUAACCUACCUAUAAGACUGGGAUAACUUCGGGAAACCGGAGCUAAUACCGGAUAAUAUUUUGAACCGCAUGGUUCAAAAGUGAAAGACGGUCUUGCUGUCACUUAUAGAUGGAUCCGCGCUGCAUUAGCUAGUUGGUAAGGUAACGGCUUACCAAGGCAACGAUGCAUAGCCGACCUGAGAGGGUGAUCGGCCACACUGGAACGGAGACACGGUCCAGACUCCUACGGGAGGCAGCAGUAGGGAAUCUUCCGCAAUGGGCGAAAGCAUGACGGAGCAACGCCGCGUGAGUGAUGAAGGUCUUCGGAUCGUAAAACUCUGUUAUGAGGGAAGAACAUAUGUGUAAGUAACUGUGCACAGCUUGACGGUACCUAAUCAGAAAGCCACGGCUAACUACGUG